rnacentral:tRNA from 1 species
AUAGCUCAGUGGCACAGCGCCUGCCUGGCAAGCACGAGGUUCUGAGUUCAAUUCUUGGU